UACGAAGGGGGCUAGCGUUGCUCGGAAUCACUGGGCGUAAAGCGCACGUAGGCGGGUCUUUAAGUCAGGGGUGAAAUCCUGGAGCUCAACUCCAGAACUGCCUUUGAUACUGAGGAUCUCGAGUCCGGGAGAGGUGAGUGGAACUCCGAGUGUAGAGGUGAAAUUCGUAGAUAUUCGGAAGAACACCAGUGGCGAAGGCGGCUCACUGGCCCGGAACUGACGCUGAGACGCGAAAGCGUGGGGAGCAAACAGG
rnacentral:rRNA from 1 species